AGUGAACGCUGGCGGUAGGCCUAACACAUGCAAGUCGAACGGCAGCACAGUAAGAGCUUGCUCUUACGGGUGGCGAGUGGCGGACGGGUGAGGAAUACAUCGGAAUCUACUUUUUCGUGGGGGAUAACGUAGGGAAACUUACGCUAAUACCGCAUACGACCUACGGGUGAAAGCAGGGGAUCUUCGGACCUUGCGCGAUUGAAUGAGCCGAUGUCGGAUUAGCUAGUUGGGGGGGUAAAGGCCCACCAAGGCGACGAUCCGUAGCUGGUCUGGGAGGAUGGUCGGCCACACUGGAACUGGGACACGGUCCAGACGCCUACGGGAGGCAGCAGUGGGGAAUAUUGGACAAUGGGCGCAAACCUGAUCCAGCCAUACCGCGUGGGUGAAGAAGGCCUUCGGGUUGUAAAGCCCUUUUGUUGGGAAAGAAAAGCAGCAGGUUGAUACCCCGCUGUUCUGACGGUACCCAAUGAAUAAGCACCGGCUAACUUCGUG
rnacentral:rRNA from 1 species